GAUGUUAGUGUCUGCAGAACAUAUCUUUGUUUUAUUCCAAGCUGGUCUUACACUAAUAUCUAUCAUUUUUAGAAACUAAUUUACACAAUCUGCAUGUAUCUCUUCUGUUAGCCACUCUGGACAGGAAUCCUCCACCAUGUCUGUGGUUGUCACACCUUCUCUGCCAUAAUUUGCCAUCAAGACCAUCUUGAAGAUUUCAGCCACAAGGAAUACAUUAAAGGUCCCAUAUUAUGCUUUUUCUGGUUUUAUAUGCCCUUUAGUGUGUUUUCCAAGUGUCCUGUGCAUGUUUAGACACAUCUAUUUGCAAAAAUUCAAAGUCCGCGGAAACGCAGCUUCUCCUACCUCCUCCUGUUAGCUGUAGCAUUAGCUGCAUGUAACGCUCGGUUCUAGCCCCCCUCGAUAAAAAUUUGUCAGUCCGACGUCAUUGUCAGUGUGAGAUCACUGAUCUAAGCCCAUUGGCUCGUUGUGGCAAGCCCAGCAGCUCAUGUUGCACGCCCGUUAACUUCUGUAGCACGCCCACGAUAUGCCGUAGCCUGCGGUAGCACAGUAGUGCUAAGGUGCUAAUGUUUAUGCUCCCCUCAGACGGAGCCAGUGGCUGCAUUCCCAAUAUGGUAAAAGGGGCGGGACAUUUCCGAGAACCGUGCUGAGCAACUGACCAAUUACGGCAGAGCCGACAGGCCGACCAAUCAGAUCAGACUUGGCACACGUGGGGACUCUGAACGUGGGCACUUCAGAGCCUUAGAGAGAGUCAGAAGCGAGCCGGUGCAUGGAGCGACAGUACAUGAAAACAGACACUUUUUUAUAACUUUAGCUAUUGUGAACAUACUUUAGUAGGUACAUAGAUUAAAUAUAUGAACCCCAAAAAGGGUAUAAUAUGGGCUCUUUAAGGAGACGUCAGGAGCACACAAAGCUCUUCUGGGCAUUGUACAUCACAAGAAAUUCCUGAAGGAUGCUGAGAAGUUCUUGACCUUCAGGUAAUGUAGUUUGCUAGUUUGUAGAAUACAAUAAAAUAAAUUGUUAGGCCAUGUGUUAAGUAUGCGUUACUUUUCCUUUAGAUCUACUGCAGACUUUCCACAGCCACCUGCUGAUGUAUGCCAGCAAACGGUUUGCAUUUUCACCGCCAGUGUAUGAAGCUCGAGUCCUUCUUGUGGCCAUUGACUACAACUUCCAUAGGAAGAGGCCAUACAGGAUUUCAAAAGAUGGCAAGAAAAUCUAUAAUAGGCUGUACAACAAAACAGCCAAACGCUGGAAGGUGUAUGCUGUCAAGAGCCCAGAGACCUAUGGAUACAUCAGGGAAUUGCAGGCCAGGAUUGUGUCGAGGAGGCUCUCUUCAGGAGCAGGGAUGCCCCUGACAAGGGACCAGCGUCCAGACGACCCUCGGAAGCUUGGCACCUAAUGGGGCUACUGGGGCUUCUGGUAGCAAAGCCUCAAGUGGGCACUCGAGGAACUGCAUUUUGUUUUUGCAGUUCCCAAAUGGCUUAAUUUCUCAACACCAUGAGGUUGCUGCUUGGUAAAAGCUAAACAGGCGGGGUUUUUUUUGUGUGUGAACUCAAUUAUCUCAUUGAAUCCCCACUGUUGAACCGAGCACAAAGAGCUCUUCUUAUCUGCAGAGCAUGUUUUGAAGUGCAGCACCAGAUGUUGACUGCUGUGACAGCAGCUCAGUUAAUAGUCUGUCACAUUUUGAACAAACCUCCUUUUAAAGAGCCAAUCUGCACAAUACAAUCCUUUCCUUAUCUUUAAGUCUUUAACACCAAAUUCCUUAUUUUCUGUAGACAAUGAAAGACAAUGCAUGGAGCAAUCAAUGAAUGGACAUGCAUCAUCCAUGUGGACACUUUAUAGACCAUAAACCUGCAACAUGGUCACAAGUCUUUAGGUUUGGUUGCACAAACACUUCUUUCCAUUUUCUAUAAAACAUUUAAGGCAAAUAACCGAGUUUAUUUGAAGAGCUGUUGUCAUCAUUUAAUUGCUGGAGGACAAUAUGAGAGAAAAAUAAGCAGGAUGGACAAAAUUAACGAGAAGCACAGAGUAGAGCUGGAGCAGCAACACGAGGAGCCAAAGGAACAUAAAGAGACAUUUAGCCUCAGUUUGAAAAAGAUUGGACGAUGUCAUCAAGAUCAAUACAGUAAUGUAGCAAACAUUCUGCAUACAGAAACACACACAGACACACAGACACACAGACACACAGACACACACACACACACACACACACACACACACACACACACACACACACACACACACACACACACACACACACACACACACACACACACACACACACACACACACACACACACACACACACACACACACACACA